UACAGACAUUUUGAGUUAAGAAAACCACACGUCUAUCUUCAAAAUUGAGAUUACCCUCUAUAUUUCAUUUUUCAUAAUUGCACAGAAAUGACAUCACCCAAUUUUCCAAAUUAUAUGACUUGAAUUUCACACUGGAUGUUUCAAAAAUUUGUUGAUUAACUUAUUGGAUAGUGACUCACUCAUUCACGUACCCACCCUAUUCCCAAUCCCCUUGAGCCUUCCCUACUUUUAUACUUUGCUUUUUUUCCAUAGCACUUAUUAUCUUAUAACAUGUCGUAUACCUUAUUUAUUAUGGUUAUUGCUUAUUUUCUGUUGAUUAGGUUGUAA
rnacentral:lncRNA from 1 species